CCUACGGGUGGCAGCAGUGAGGAAUAUUGGUCAAUGGCCGCGAGCCUGAACCAGCCAAGCAGCGUGAAGGAUGACUGCCCUACGGGUUGUAAACUUCUUUUAUCAAGGAAUAAAGUCAGGCACGUGUGCCUGUCUGUAUGUACUUUAUGAAUAAGGAUCGGCUAACUCCGUGCCAGCAGCCGCGGUAAUACGGAGGAUCCGAGCGUUAUCCGGAUUUAUUGGGUUUAAAGGGUGCGUAGAUGGGUUGUUAAGUCAGUUGUGAAAGUUUGCGGCUCAACCGUAGAAUUGCAAUUGAUACUGGCAGCCUUGAGAACAGUUGAGGUAGGCGGAAUGCGUGGUGUAGCGGUGAAAUGCUUAGAUAUCACGCAGAACUCCGAUUGCGAAGGCAGCUUACUAAGCUGCCACUGACAUUGAUGCACGAAAGUGUGGGUAUCAAACAGGAUUAGAUACCCUGGUAGUC
rnacentral:rRNA from 1 species